GCCUGGGUGGCUCAGUCGGUUGAGCUCCUGACUCUUGAUUUCAGCUCAGGUUACGAUCCCAGGGUCGUGGGAUCAAGCCCCGCAUCAGGCU
rnacentral:tRNA from 1 species